GGUGUUGUGGUUUAGUGGUAUAAUUCUUGCUUAGGGAUCUAUCAGUUGCCGUCAAUUGAUUCUCUCAUGUAAGAGGUCCCCGGUUCAAUCCCGGGCAACGCCC
rnacentral:tRNA from 1 species